GAAAUAUCCCCUUCUAUUAUUAUAAACUGAGCAAAUUUGAUCUGAAAAAUUUUGAGAGAUAGAUGUAGAUGACAUGAUGCCAUUUUUACAGUUAUUUUUCAAAUUAUAACCAUGGUCCACCCUCUGUGAAGAAAAAGGAUUUCCAUUCCCCCAGUAGAUGUACUCCAAUGCUGUAUCUUUAUAUUUAAAGUGAGCAUUCAAAAGGCCUGAUUCCUGUUCUCUUGCUAAGCUAUCUUUAUGCCACCGGAGCGGUACAGGGGUGCCUUAAACUAGCCCUAGCAGGCUGAUGGGGAUUGCCCCAGCACAGGAAAUUUCAGCCCCUCCCAAACCCCUGAACAUCCAGAGGGUGCAUUGGCACGAGCUGUGGAGUAUGGGCAUGAUGGGGGCCAGAUCAUGAUGAGUUCCCUGAUCCCCAACUGGUAAUAUGAUUCCAUAAUGUUUUAUAGUGGAGAUUUCAAAGAUGAGGCUAGACACAGAGAAUAUAGCUUCACAGAUUCCUCAAUAGUGGUUCCACUUAAGUUUUAACAGCAAUUAUGUCCAUUUAUACAUAAAUCAAUAGUAAUUUCUCUCCCACGUUUAGCUGUAGAUUCCCUCUUCAAAGAUAAUAAGCUAAAGAGAAUGUCUGCUUCUGCUUCACAAUAAAAUACUUAAUUUACCUUUCACCACCAUGAACUUGCCAACAUCAUAGGAUUAUAAAUGUCAUUUAAACAUGAGCAUAUUGUUCUUAUUAUGGUCAAUUAGUACUGAAACUUUGCUGUGUAGAACCAAUACAGGACUACACAUUGGCCACACAGCCAGCACUAGGCAUAAGCAGACUAAACAAUUGCUUAGGGCCCUGAGCAGCUGAAGGGGGCCCCUAUUUGCUUUUUUUAGUAAGUGUUGUGGGGGAUGGGAGCCAAAAAUAUUCCUGGUUAAGGCCCCCAAUGAGCUAGCACCACCUCUGAUUGGCAAUGAAACUGUGCGAUGCUCCUCCAGGUUUUAGAUCUGUCAAAAUAAUGCAACUUCUCUUGCAUUAAUGUUGUACGUAUUGGCAAUAUAUAUAUAUUAGAUAUCUUUACUUCCCACUGGACAAGUACCUCAGAGCUAGAGUCUGGUUCUCUGGUUGAAAUGUAACCCAGAGGCACUGUUGGUGAAAGGAUAAAGAGUGAGACAAUCUUGGGUAUCUGUAAAUCAGUCAUAUCCACUGGCUCAUGAAUCCUGUCUAAUCCUGCGACCACAGCACAUCACUUCUUUUACGGCUUGCUUAGACACUGAAUUUAGUGUCCAGGCCCAGUAUAUGAUCUUUCAGUCUUACUAAACCAGAAGAUUAAUCUUUUAUUUAAGAUACUUUACCUGUUUCUUCUCAGUGAUUCCUGUGUUCUGGUUUCUCAGUGUUAUACAAGCCUUUUAAAUAAACACACACACGCACGCACACACACAGAGUCACUCACUCGUGUGUGUGUGGAUAGAUAGAUAGAUAGAUAGAUAGAUAGAUAAAAUGAGUCUAACACAGAGGGGAGGCUGUGUAAAUCAGACAUUGUGUAAGCCUUUUCUUUUAUUACACCGUGGUUUUUAUGAGAUUCUUUAGCUCAACUUCCUUUUCAAAAGAUACACUACCAACUCUAUAGUGCUCACACUCGUCAACUUUUUGUUACAGUUCUGACAGUCUGCAAAGAACUAGAACUGUCUUUCCCGCUCCUCACCACUCAAUGUGGCAAUGUGUUUUUUUUUCUAUUUUGAAAAUAUAGUUGUUUUACUCACCCUCAAAAAAAGUCACUGACCUGGGCAAGAGGAGGAAUAGAGUUUUCCAAAUUAGUAUUAAUUUAAAGUCAGAUGCUGUAUAUCUCUCAGAGGGAAAAAAAUGUCUUUUCUACAGAGAUAUUUCCAAUAUUUAAAAUAUAUGAAUCCUCUGAAUAAUGUACUGGGUUCUAGUGGGCUGACAUCAUCACUGUGUUCAUUUAUUUCUUUCCCUUCUGAAAAUUCUCUAAGGAUCAACACCCCCACAGAUGAGCCAUGCAGAGAUCAGCAUUUGGGAGGGAAGCAGAGUUUGGAACGGGAAACAUAUCUUAACACUCAGGGGGCCCCCAAUAUUAGCAGAUUGUCUCAGAAGUCCGUAGACUACUUUGUAGGUUGGAUGCUAUGCCAUCCAUUCUUCAGAGUUUUUUCUUUUCUUUUUUUUAUUGCAUGGCCAUCCUUACAGGAAAUGUUUGUUACAGUGUUGAAUGCUUCAUACUGGAAAUCAACUUCGCAUGUGGCUAUUCUCACAAAUGUGCAAUCCCCAAAUGUAUACAUGUACCAAAACUAUGUUAGAACUAAAAGUCUGAUCAUGGAAACACCACUAAGGCCAGUGAUUAUUACCAUGAAUAGUACCCUUGACUGCAGUCAAUGAGUGUGUUUAUUUACACUGCUAAGUAUAAGCCAUGCCACUUAUAUCAUUCAACAUCUUGAUUCAAAGAGUGAUAUCAAGAAAGCUAUUCAGAUAACCUGCUUUUAUGGUAGGUGUUGGAGAAGCUAUUAUACCACCAUUAGUCCAAAAUAGAGACAAAUAUUCAGAUGAAAGGAAGACUCAGACUCUCUAACCGGAGAAGCUUUUGAGUGAGUCAUAACCAGGGGAUACACUUAAUCUAGACUCAGAUAAUAGAGAAUUUCUGAUUAGACAGACUCUUUUGACCCAAGGAGAACUACUGACUUCCUGGAUCCAACUGCAGGACAAGUCAGAGCCAUGGACUUUAAUGAGUAAAGAUAAGCACAUGUGUAAGUGUUUUCAAGAUCUGGGCCUUAACUGCAAACUAUUUAGAGCAAGGUCAGUAAGAUUUCUGUACAUUACUCAGAAUAAAAGGGUCCCAAUCUGGACACUACCAUAAUAUAAAUUAUAAGUAAUAAGACAGCAACAAGUCAUGUACUUUUCUAAGAGAAUUGCACCUAUCCACAAACUUUAAAGUGCCUUAACUAAAAAACAAAGAGACAAAAUCCAGAAGCAACCUCUUCCAUAUAUGGAAAUAACUAGCCAGACCUCACAACAAAGGGAAGAUGAGGAGAUAUAACCUAUGCUUCCAAAAUAUUACACUCCAUGUUACAUGCAUCUUCUUAAAAACCCGUACAACAAGACUUGCGAUUCUCUUUUUCAUAACAGGCAAAAUUAUUAGGCUGUAUUAGGUAAUAGUAACAUUUUUUUACUCCAAGAAUGCAAGGAAACAGCUUUCAAAUCCCUAUUUCUUAUUUUAUAUGUUGUUUAACCACAAGAAAUUCCGAGGGAAUUCGUUUUCAUGUUCUCCCUGCUCCAAAAAUAUCAUUGCUGUGACCUCAUUGAUACAACCUGACUGGAAUGUUUCUAGCGGAGAGAAAACCUUCACAAUAAUAGGGGGUUACACAGGAAGAACAGACACAAACUACAACAUAAGAGCCUUGAUGAUAUAAUCCCAUAUUCGACAGAAAGAUGGGUUGACUGCUUUCUGCUGGCUGCAGUUUAGCAAGACCCUUAGGAGUACUCUUCCCUUAAACUCCUGCCAUCCACCCCAAACUUACACUGAAAUCAAACCACUAGGAAAAUAAGGCACUUCUUAGAAGUAUCCCUGACAAACAUUUUAAUGUGUUCAGCAUGCAUGAUGCUCCAGCAGAAGUUUCAAUACAGUCUUCAUUUCUUUACCUAGUGGCACAAGGGAGGACCUGGUGUGGUGCGAUAGAAAAAGGGCCAUAUCCUUUGUGGUGUACCACAUUAAAUUAAUUUGUCAGGCUUUCUAAGUCUGUCACUGUUCACAGACGGUGGAACAAUUGUUUUGCUUCCCCACUCCCCUCUUUUUUUCCCAAUUUUCACAUAGUAUCAUGCUAAAAAAGAGUUAUGGAUUUCCUUCUGAGAGGACUGCAUGGACUGAUAAAGUAAAUUCAUGGCACAAAACAACUUGUUAUUUUCCCUUUUACCUCAUAAUUUCACUUAAGAGAGAAAGUGCAAUAAAUUUUGGCGGGAAAAAUAAGACUAUUUUGGACAUUUCUAAUGACUAGUCUGUGUAAACACUAUUGAGAAAUAUGGGUGAGAACAAUUCAUCCAGAGGAAUGAUUAUUUUUCUUGCCCCGAGGCCCUAAACAGCACUUUUGUGAAGUAUUUUAAAUUGUCUGAAGUUCAUUUAAGAAGAGGAAGAAGCAAAAAAAGAAUGUUUGGAAAACUCUCAUAGGCUUUCAUGUUUAAAUGCUUUAUUCUUUGGUGAUUAUGAAACAGUCACUUUCUAACUCAACUGAAGAACUGUUGCCCAAACUUUCCUAACACACAGUUAGUGGCCAUUUUGAUCUCACUUACUCUGGAUAUAUACCAGAAUAGCUGAGAUCAGAAUCUGGUCCAAGGUAUCGAUGCAACAUUUAGAACAAUGGGGUCCUGGUCCCAGACUGGGGCCCCUAGGGGCUACGAUAAGAUAAAUAAUGAAUAAUAAUACACAGUUGGACACUCUCGCUAUGCACACAAUGUGUUGGAGCUAAAUUCUCUGCUAGUGUAAACUCGCACAGCUCCACUACCUGUAAUGGAGCUUCAGCAAUUCAUGCCCGCAGAGAAUUUGGCCCUUGGUCUUUAGUGUUUUACUAGCUUCCCUGACACUACUUAAAUAUGGUGCCUCGGUAUAGCUCCUAUUGUCUCCGGAACUCUGCUACAGGCUGGCUGGGCAUUAGUACUUCAAGCACUGCCCCACAGGGUUCACUCUUCAUUGCCUUAUCAAAUGAACAAAAUUUCCUCAAUAAGUCUUCCUGUACUGCAGAUAAAAUAGCAAACAAACAUUUGGGCGAGUUAAAAAAAAAGCUGACUAAAUGCAGGAAGAUCAUUCUUGUUAUUCUACCAAUAUUGCUUCCUUUGCUCCAAAGGAAAUGCUAGUUCAGAAGGAGCCAGGGGAGCAGUUAGCAGCUUCUUGCUAGAGCUCCAGUAUCUCUGCUGCAGAGGCUAGAAGAUGCUGUAAGAAUGUGUGACUCAUACGGCUCAUCAUGAUUGAAACCUCUUCCGAUGCCAGUAGAAAUCUACUUAAAACCUUUCAUUUGCAGGGUAAAAAGAGAGCUGGAAUGACAUUUUUCUUCUGUACAUUCACCCUGUUUUCAAAUCAGAGGGCCCCGAGCUGCAGCAGGAGCAGGGUGCUUGCAAUGUAGCUGGUUGUGACAAGGCAGCUGACAAGCCUUCCGCAUUCCACAGCUCGAUUAUUAAUAUGAAUAACUAAUGACUCACGCUGACACUACCGAGGCCGGGAAACUUUCUGUAACUAAAGAGUUAUAAAAUGUUAUUCUCCCACAGCACCACCACCAAAUCGAUGAGUGAUCUGUGUACGGUUUUGCAUUCAUUUCAAACUGAAUAUGCAUGUCCCUGCACACAUGGCUUGAAACAGUCAGAAGACUGGUGUUUAGGGGAAAGAGUUCAGUUGUAUCAGGCUAUUUAGGGGGCUCACUGCAAGAACGCAGAGACAUUUCUCACGCUAGUCCACUUGCUUACUAAUAUGAAUAACUAAUGAUUAAAGCAUCUGAUCUACCGAGGGCUGUGAGAUUAUUAGACCAGGCUUGUGAAACUUCUUUGUCACUGUCUGGAAAAGCCAGACUUCUCUGGAGGUUGCAGUUUCAUUUUUUUCCCCCUGCUCAGAGGACGUGGUACGGCUUCAGCCAAUAAUUUAGAAUCAUCCGAGAGGGACACAUCACCAAAAGCAACACUACAUGUAUGGAUCCUCUUCUUCGCCUGGGCUACGUGAGUUGCAACUACCUUCAAGCAAGUUUCUGAGCUUUUCUUACUUGUUCCCAGUGAGCAUGCUUCUUCUUCCUUUACCCCGACUGACAAAGUAGCAAAAAUGAGACAGCAUCACGCUCUGCUGGCUGUACGUAUGAGCUUGCUCGUCAUUCAGUACUGUACUGGUUUUAGUCUGUGAUAUGUGCAGCAUGCCGUUGGCUGUUACUUUUAAUGGCUGUAGCUCAAAAGCAAAGAUUCUGCCAAAAGAAUCAAAAAGGUUGAUGCUACUGCUAUUGUAGUGUGUGGAACUCCGAUGAAUAGUAUAACGUGCCUGGAUUUACAAAAGGAAAAUCUGUGAGGAUGCCAUGACUCUUUGAACAGCUAAACAGCUGCAAUUUACAUGGUGCUGUCGGCUUAUUUCCUUGCUUGGUGCCUGAGUGUGAGUGAUGAUAUAAGUUUCAACACAGAGCUGGGAACAGCAUCAGGGGCUGCCUCGACAACAAGAGUUACCAGUGAAUUGCGUGGGUGUGGGAGGAGCAGGUCAUCUGGCUCUCAUCUCGGAUGGUAGGCCAAGGAACGUUAGGGAAUAUGCCAAGUGUUUCUGGAUGAGAGCUACAUCCCAGAGGGCUGACGGAAAUUAAAGAUACACUGGUAUAGUGGUUAAUGCUCCAAAUUCAUGGACAGUAAUAAAAAUAAUGUUGUCCAGAAAGCAGCAGGAGGCAUUCUGAAGAGAAAGAGACAGGCUAAUAGAAUGAAUAGAAAUGUUUGCAUCUUUGCCAGAUGGAUGACCAGGCUGAUUAUUGUACUUGGCUUGCUGAGCUCUGCAGUGGAAGAGGACUUUCUAGGUAACUGUACACAAUGUAUUUGGGUAUGAAAAUGAGACUGCCUCAAAAGAAACAGAAACCCAUGGGAUUACGGAAGGAUUUAGUGAAUUAAAUGGAUGUAUAAUGUUGUCAUGUUGAUCUCCGACUGCUCUCAUUCUCUUCCCACCCUUUCUGUCUGUUUCUCUCUCCCAGACAUGCCAAUGUAUUCAAAUAAAUCAGCACUAAUUAAAUACACUUGGGCAGUCGUACAUUAGCUCUCAAAAAACUCACCCCCCAAAAAAAUCUUUGAUCAAGUAAUACUACAUGUUACUGAAACUGACAAAAGAAUUCUUAGUUAAGGAUGAAACUCCACCUUCAGUGAUCAUACUAUAAAUGUUUAGGUGAAGUCCCAUAUGUAUAGCCACCAUUGCUUGGACUGACUGCUAAACCUGAACACAGUGAUAGGUUAAAAAUAUAAUCUCAGCCUUUAAUCUGGAUUUUCUGUUUGCUUUUGUUGGUUUAACUCAAAAUCUUUUUGUUUACUUGAGUGUAAUUUGUGGUGAUUUGUAACAGAUUUAAAAUAAAUUUUAAAUUUUAAUAAAAGAGAAUAAAAUCAGAACAAUAUUUGUAUACAACUUGUAUGUACUAUAUUGCUGUUAAAUAUGCAGUA